CAGUCGAGCGGACAGAAGGGAGCUUGCUCCCGGAUGUUAGCGGCGGACGGGUGAGUAACACGUGGGUAACCUGCCUGUAAGACUGGGAUAACUCCGGGAAACCGGAGCUAAUACCGGAUAGUUCCUUGAACCGCAUGGUUCAAGGAUGAAAGACGGUUUCGGCUGUCACUUACAGAUGGACCCGCGGCGCAUUAGCUAGUUGGUGGGGUAAUGGCUCACCAAGGCGACGAUGCGUAGCCGACCUGAGAGGGUGAUCGGCCACACUGGGACUGAAACACGGCCCAGACUCCUACGGGAGGCAGCAGUAGGGAAUCUUCCGCAAUGGACGAAAGUCUGACGGAGCAACGCCGCGUGAGUGAUGAAGGUUUUCGGAUCGUAAAGCUCUGUUGUUAGGGAAGAACAAGUGCGAGAGUAACUGCUCGCACCUUGACGGUACCUAACCAGAAAGCCACGGCUAACUACGUGCCAGCAGCCGCGGUAAUACGUAGGUGGCAAGCGUUGUCCGGAAUUAUUGGGCGUAAAGGGCUCGCAGGCGGUUUCUUAAGUCUGAUGUGAAAGCCCCCGGCUCAACCGGGGAGGGUCAUUGGAAACUGGGAAACUUGAGUGCAGAAGAGGAGAGUGGAAUUCCACGUGUAGCGGUGAAAUGCGUAGAGAUGUGGAGGAACACCAGUGGCGAAGGCGACUCUCUGGUCUGUAACUGACGCUGAGGAGCGAAAGCGUGGGGAGCGAACAGGAUUAGAUACCCUGGUAGUCCACGCCGUAAACGAUGAGUGCUAAGUGUUAGGGGGUUUCCGCCCCUUAGUGCUGCAGCUAACGCAUUAAGCACUCCGCCUGGCGAGUACGGUCGCAAGACUGAAACUCAAAGGAAUUGAC
rnacentral:rRNA from 1 species